AUUGAACGCUGGCGGUAGGCCUAACACAUGCAAGUCGAACGGCAGCACAGUAAGAGCUUGCUCUUACGGGUGGCGAGUGGCGGACGGGUGAGGAAUACAUCGGAAUCUACUUUUUCGUGGGGGAUAACGUAGGGAAACUUACGCUAAUACCGCAUACGACCUACGGGUGAAAGCAGGGGAUCUUCGGACCUUGCGCGAUUGAAUGAGCCGAUGUGGGAUUAGCUAGUUGGCGGGGUAAAGGCCCACCAAGGCGACGAUCCGUAGCUGGUCUGAGAGGAUGAUCAGCCACACUGGAACUGAGACACGGUCCAGACUCCUACGGGAGGCAGCAGUGGGGAAUAUUGGACAAUGGGCGCAAGCCUGAUCCAGCCAUACCGCGUGGGUGAAGAAGGCCUUCGGGUUGUAAAGCCCUUUUGUUGGGAAAGAAAAGCAGCAGGUUAAUACCCCGCUGUUCUGACGGUACCCAAAGAAUAAGCACCGGCUAACUUCGUG
rnacentral:rRNA from 1 species